AUGAGGAACCUGGGGGCUGGCGGCGGGGCGGAGAUGGGAGAGCGAAGAACGCGAGGUAGGGGGUACUCACACAUUAGGAGAAGACAGGACCCCCUUCCUCUGCAGUCCGCCAGGAGUUUAGCAUCUUCAGGAAGAGAGAACGAGCAAGGAGUGGCCACCUUUUGGCUAGUGGAGGGGCAUACCAGAAUGUCUCCUUCUAUGGGGUUCCCUGGUGAAAACAGCUUUUGCUUACUUCAGUGGCAAGAAGUUUCAAAAUCUUAUCUGGAGCAGGUCACUGGGGAUCAAGGUGAGUCCAACUACGUGGCUGAUACUGACAGCUUCUGCCUUUUUUCUAUGUUCUUAGCCUUCUCCUGGCAUUUCAGGUAUAUAGAUCUCAUCACUGAGCCUUUCGGUGUGAAUAUUUUCCUUUUUUUAGCUGCUCUUCUGUGUUGACUCAAAUUCUUUAAUGGGCUAUAGAGCAUUUUCUGAGCUAUUUUGCUGUGUGAGAAGCUGUCCAUAUUUGAUUUUGGUGGGAAGAAUGAAAAAUGAAAGCUGGUAUCUCCUUCUCAGUCCUUUUGGUGAUGUCAGCCUAGGUAUGUAGUUUUAUUAUUUGUUUAAUGCACAUCUUUCCAACUAAAUGAAAUACCUUUAUAUCAUUAAUGUUGAGCAUAUUGCUUGACACAUGGUUGUAGAUACUCAGCAAGUACAUUUUUAAAAAAGAUUUAUUUAUUUAGUUAGUUACUGAAUUACUUGAAAGUCAGAACAACAUAGAAAGGGAGAAAGAGAAAGAAUGAGAUCUUCCAUCCAUUGGUUCACUCCCCAAAUGGUACAAAAUGGCAGCAAAAGCCAGAUCUGGGCCAAACUGAAGCCAGGAGCCAGGAAAUGUAUCCUGGUCUGUCACAUGGGUGGCAGGGCCCCAAACACUUUAGCUAUCUUACACUACUUUCACAGUCAUGUUAUCAGGGAGGUGGAUUGGAAGUGGAGCAGCAGGGACUAGCAUCAGGGGUGAUAGCUUAACUCACUGAGCCACAGAUGCCAUCCCAUGAAUAAGUAUUUUCUGAUUGAAUGGAUAGAUGUGCAUUUACCGUUAUUAUCUUAAUUCAUCUAAAAUUUAGUGACCUAUAUAAGGCAUCUUCCAAUCUUAAUCUUUUUAUGAAAUGGCUUUUUUCUUUGACUCCAGUCAAAUUUCCCUGUCCUAAUUCUCCCAUCUGACUAAUUCUAUCUAAUCGUCUUUACAGUCUUUGGUUUUCUUUUAAAUAUUUGUUAUUUAUUUGAAAGGGAGAGUUACAGACAGAGAGGGAAAGUCAAACAGAAAGAGAUCUUCCACUCACAGGUUAACUCCCCAAAUGGCUGCAAUCGUCGGGGCUGGACCAAGCCAAAGCUAGGAGCCAGGAACUCUGCGCUAGUUUUCCAUGUCUGCAUCAGGGGCCCAAAUACUUGGAGCAUCUUCCAUUGUUUUCUCAGGUAUAUUGGAAGGGAAAUGGAUUGAAAGUGAAGUAGGAAAGACUUGAACUAGUUAUGAUAUGAGAUACCUGCAUCACAAGUGGUGGCUUAAUCCACUGUGCCACAAUGCUCCCUCCACCCCACCUCGGAGCCCAGUCUCCUUUUUAUCUGCUCAUGUCAUAAUUAUUGUACUUUCCAGAGUUCUGUUCUUUCAUUUUGUUCUAUAUACUCUUCUGAGAUGAUCUAUUUCAACCCAAUCACCUCUUAGCUGAUGACUUUGCUGAGUCAACAUAGCUAGCCAAAAUCUUAUUCUCAAAUCUCAGAUACUGAGAACUGCUGGUCUUCUUCAUUUUGAGUAUCAAAUCUAUCACAGUUUGAGCCAAACUCAUCGUAUUUUGUUGCAGACCCACUUCUUUUGCUGUGUUUUGUAUUUGUGUUUUUACAUAUGAAAGUGUGUUAUCCCCCCUGUGAAAAUAUCUAUCAUAUUAUUCAGCAUGUUUUAUUGAAAUUUUGCCUCUUUAUAUUUGCAAUUAACUUUUAGAUAGGGCCCACAUUUGUUUUACCUUUGUAGUCCCAAGAUGUAGCACAUUUUAUGUCAUUGACUUAGUAUUCGUGUACAUUUGUUCAAGUGAGUGCAUAUAUAUUUUUUUCUUUUUUUAACUUUUAUUUAAUAAAUAUAAAUUUCCAAAGUACA
rnacentral:lncRNA from 1 species